UCCUUCCUUCCUUCCUUCCUUCUUCCUUCCUUCCUUCCUUCUUUCCUUCCCUCCCUCCCUCCCUCCCUCUCUCUUUCUUUUUUUCUUUCGACAGAGUCUCGCUCUGUUGCCCAGGCUGGAGUGCAGUGGCGCAAUCUCGGCUCAUUGCAAGCUCCGCCUCCUGGGUUCACGCCAUUCUCCUGCCUCAGCCUCCUGAGUAGCCUACAGGCGCCCGCCACCACGCCCAGCUAAAUUUUUGUAUUUUUAGUAGAGACGGGGUUUCACCAUGUUAGCCAGGAUGGUCUCAAUCUCCUGACCUAACGAUCCGCCUGCCUCGGCCUCCCACAGUGCUGGGAUUACAGGUGUGAGCCACCGCACCCAGCCAAGUCCCGUUUUUCAAACUCAAUUUGCUUCUUGCCUCCAGACCCUCUCUGAGGUUUUGUGUUUCCUCUCCCAUUCAGGUGGGGGCUGGGGUGGGAGGCGGGCAGAGGCUGAUCCAGCAGUUGGAAAGGGUGCAGCCCAGGUUCUCCUAACUCAGGAAGAGAAGGGGGGAAAGGAAGGCCUUAUCCAAGGAUAUAGCACGUUCUCUUUGGUAAACCAGAGAGACACUUUUGUUUUCUUAGCCACAGAGUGCCCAAGGGGAGCCUCAGGGUACAGGGUGGCAGAGGUGGGAAUAAGGACUGGGUGGGGGAGGCCAAGGGAGGGCCUAGAGUGCGGGUGCAGGAGUCAACACUCCAGGACGCAGAUGUGCUUGAUAAGACAGGUGACUGGCCUGGAAGGUUGAGAUCACAGCCUUACUUCUUUAUUUUACCUCGCUAGUGGAGACCUGGUUACUCACGAGGCCAAGGGAUCCUGAUCAUUCAUUCAAGAAAUAUUCACUGCCUAGCUAGGUAGUAAUUCCAAUAUCCAAUUGAAGAAUAGAAAGGACUCCCCUGACGCACCAUGGGUAUGUAUCAUUUAAGC
rnacentral:lncRNA from 10 species